UCUGUUUCUUUUUAUUGCAUAAAAAAUGUAAAGUGAGUCGUUCAUUUUACAUCUAAAUGUAAUAAUUUCUUCACAAUCAUGCUGCCAAAAAAUUGCACAAUGUAUUAAAAAAAGCUUCAUGAAAGUUAACAUCAGUACAUAACUACAUUUUUUGUGAUACAUUUACAGUAUAUAGAUCUAUAUCUAUAUAUAUUUUUAAAUCAUUUGCAUGUUUUAAUAACAGCUCGGUAAACGUCAUGUUCCCAGCAUGAACAUGUGAACAACAUGGACAUUAACAGUUUCGACAGGUUUUCAUAAACCUCAUCAGUUUGGGACACACACAGAUUAUUCAAAUGUCACAUUUUUAUCCAUUGUAAAAAAUCUGUCAGUCUUGUUUUGGGUCUGCAGACUUCAGCUUUAAGAAAAUCUCUCUUCUGGUUUCUGGCUCUGUCCUGAAGGUUUUGCAGGGAAAGAGAACAAGACAAAAGCUUAUUUGUCUGUUUUGAAGUGAGUUGUAUAUCACAAGGAAGAAGUCUUUGUAAAAGCAGCCCAGGUCGCCAUCUGAAGUCGGGAGCAUCUGGGGUUGCUAAUAGUUUUUUCAGGCCUGUUAUUUACCUUGUUAUCUCAUCUUAAAAGUUUCAAUAUUUUGUAUUCCUGAGAUGAAAAAUCUUGUUUUUUACUCGAAAAUGUACAGGUCUACUUAGUUCCUAGGAAUAGGGAACAAUUCAGGACCUGAUUUAUGUCAGGGUCUGAAUCAUAUUUAGUCUGAACAGGUCUGGUACAGUUCUGAUCUAUUGCUGCAGGUCUGUGGUCAGUGUGACACAAUCGUACUAUAAGAUAAAAACUUUGACAUUGGAUGAUUCUUGAAAACUGUGUUAUGUCUUUACAGUAUCUGAAUAUCCUCAGGUCUCUGUCAUAUCAGGUCUUUUAUCUGUCUUUUUGUCAGACUCAGUAGGUUUUCCAUGGGUCUAUUAGAACCUGAUCCAAGACCUCUAAACUAAAGAUAAUAAAGUAAAUUAUCUUCAAAAUCUUGUACCCAAUUCAAUCUUGGAACUUUACAAAAUUUUGUACCAGUUACUUCAAGACAACUCAUGACCCUGAGUCUUCAAAAUUUUGUACCUGAUCCGGUCUAGGAAUUUUGGAAUUUGUGCCCAUUCCAAUUUUGAGUCUGAUUCCAUUUUGGUUUCAGUCAUGGUUCAGGUCCAAAAUUUUGUUCCCAAGCCAAUUUUGUGACCAGUCUUGGUUUUAGUCUUGGUUUGGGUGCAAAAUUAAAAUAUCUCCAAAGGGUUGGAACCUCCAACCCAAUUCAAGAUCUCCAAGCUUCAAGUGAUUAAGUCCUGAUUAUAAUCUAAGUAUCUCAUCAUCUGGAGAUAACAAAUCUUCUCUAGACUUGGUGGAACGACUCCAUGAUAACAGCCUCCUGAUCACCACUAAACUAUGUUUGAAAAAUAUACUUCUUUAACUCUCAUACACUUUCUAAUUCAAUCAUCAGAUAUGUUUUCGGUUGUAAUAAAAAAAACUGUCACAAGAUUAACAAGUAUGAAAAAAAGCAACCACUGACAGUCUCGGCUUCUCGACUGUUGAAAACAUUUUUGUCUUUGGGUCCCAAACCAGGGUCUAAGAAAACGCUGCCAUUUAAUAAGUCAUUUUGAACCCCACAAAAAUCCUAUAAAACCCAUAAAAUCCUCCUUCCUGCUGCUGACACACACAUAAAACAUUUCAAACUGACAGAGAAGACCGCUGAAUUUAAGGAUUCAAUCUAUCACCUUUAAUCCUUUAAAUUGAACAGUUUUCCCCUUUAAACACACAUCAAUCAUUUUCUCCUUGUACAAAAAUCUAUUGCAAACAGCUGCGUUCAAAAUACAGGAACAACUUCUUCACCAGGGUCACAAGACGGUUUGUCAAAAUCAUUCCAUAGAAACAUUAUCAAAUGUGUAUAUAUCAUCUAUAGAUAGCACCAUAAUACAAAUGAGACAGUUUGACGUUAUUGGAGAUUCACGUACAAAAAGGCAACAAACACCAACGGACAACAUACACACAGUAGUGCGACUAACAAGUAAUGAAUUUAAAAAACAGCUACUAGUUUAGUGUGCAAGAUGCUGAGACCGAUACAUGCUCACACAGACUCACAAGUUGCUUAUGUUUUUCACUAAGAGCCCUAUAACACUUGAUUUGUGCGUUGGCAUAAAGCCUUUCUCUCCUAGAGAACAUACACCAAGAUUAGAUAAGUAUGGAGGCCCAUUUCCACCAGAGAAAAUAAAUAAAUAAAAACGUGGACAUCAAAAUAAAACAUUAAUAAAUUAAUAAGACAUUAGGUCAAAAUUAUGAGAUACAAGUAAAAAUUGUAUUUACCAUCUAAGAAUAAUGUGACAUGAGUCAAAGUUUUGACUUAUUUUCAUAUUCAUCCUGUCUAGAUUUUUAUCUUUUUUUUUCUUUUCCUGGCAGAAAUGGGCGUCCAUAGAUUAAAUUAGAUUUAACUAGAUUAAAACAGAUUAAGUUUACAUUGCAAACUAAUUAGCAGUGUUAAUUUUGGCAUUUCUAUUUCUAUUAAUUUAAGUAUUUUUAAAUUACUGUCAGAAAGAUUUAUUCACAUUUUAGUUAUUUAGUUAUUUUUCAUUUUAAUCAAAAACUAAAAGACAUUUUUUUAUGUGUUUUCACAGAUGGAUGUAUUUAAAAAAUACUUACUUAAUGCAUUAUAACUAAUUAGUUAAUUUGUCCACUUGUCUGUCUUUCACAUAAUGAUUUAGUUUUUGUUUGUAUAAAUUUCAUCAGCUCUUUUUGUUGAAGGUUUUUAUUCAGUUUCAGAUUUGUUUUUUUGUGGAAAAAGAUUUUUUGUCAAAGAUUUCAUUGACGAAAUUAGCACUACUAAUUAAAUUAGAUUGUCGCUUACACUGUAGUUGCUUCAGUUUUAUGUAUCUGCAUUACUCUAUAUCAACUAGCAAAGGCAUUAGCUAAACUUAAGGGGACCUUCAUGGACCCCCUUGGCUCUUGGACCUUUUUUGACUACAUAUGAUGUUGGACUUUGAUUGUGGUUAACAUUACUACAGAAUACUGACAAGUUGUCCACAGACACACAAAGGAUGGGGCUGUGAUUUGAAUCAAAUGCACAUAAACUAGGGAAUAUUCACAUUCAAAUUUGUUAUAAAAAAAAUCACUCACAGCAUUUAUGAAUUACAUUACUGCCAUCUUACUGUCUCUACACAUUCUUUUUGACACAUUCAGAUUUACACAAAGAGACAAAACUAACACUGAACGAGAGAAAAAGUUAAACUCAUCAUGUGAAACUGAGCUCUCACUGUCAGCACCAACAACAGAAUAGAAUUUGGGUCGGUCAUGUUUAUUUUAUGGCUCUUUCUUCAGCCACACAAAUAAAAAUCUUUAAAAUGCAUCUUUUCUUUUUAUUUUCAUCUUCUGCAGCUUAAUCUAUAAUCAAAAUAAUUGUGAUUUGCAUCCUGAUAUGUUAGGUGAGCACAUUAACAUCUAACAUUUGUUUACGAUUCAUGUCAACUUUAUAACUUUAGCACGUUAAAAUAAUUAUAAUUAUAAUUACAAAAUUACUGCUUUUGGUGAAUGCAGUGCCCUUUCAUAGAUCAUAAAUGAUUUAAUAAAACAAAGUAUUUGUUUGUAUACUAACAUUGUAGUAGCAUUUGAAAUACAUUUCUCUUUUCUUUGUGAACCUACAGCUCAAUGAUGCUACCAGGUACAGAACCUUGGAUAAAAACAGUUAAUCAAAUUAACUAUUUCUUUGUUACACAUAUUUUUUGUUAAAUUAUAUUUUGUGUUAUACGUUUACCAUCAAGUAUUUUAGAAUGUGAUCAUUUUCUUUUAAUCAAAUAUACUCUUACAAUCUGUGUUUUUGAAAUAAUCUCUAUUAUAUCCUUUUGUUUACCAUCUUUUAAAUGCUAAAGAUUAUUUUAAUCCCUAUUUAAUCUUUAAUCUUUGUGAGGUAUUAUUAGUUAGUGAGUGAAGUCGAUAUAAAACUUUUUUAGCUGCUCGUCUACUGUUAACUCGUAGGAACUGUUUUUCUGUAUCGAGGGAAGUCGGACCCUGCUUCACAUUCACACAGCUCUCCACCUUCCACCACCAAGACACCCAGUAUAAAAACACUGGUGUUUAUACUGGAGAUACUGGGAAUGUCCCAGUAUAACCACAUUCCUCCUCUGCUGGUCACUGAGCAGAUAUUAUCUGUUUGAUUCUUGUUUCAUUCAUUAAAAUAAAUUGUACAGGGAUUUUAAAUGUGACCCACGUUUGAACAUAAAAAGUCAAAUAAAAACAUACAUUAUUUGAGUGGUAAGUGAUUGUGUUGGAUUUGAGCAUGACUUUUACUUUUAUUUUUUCAUAUUAGUAAAGAUAAAAUCAAUAAGUUUCAGCGGAUCAGUUUUUUAAUCAAUCCCUUUGAUUAUUUUACAAAAAACAGCCAAAUAAAUGUUGUGUAAACAAAAGCUGUUGUUCACAGCAGCUUUCUAGUUUAAUGUGGUGGUGCCAGUAGUUAGGGUUAGGGGUAGGUAGAUUAAAUCCUGGUUAAACUUUUCUGUUAUUUUCAGCUUUGGUGACGCAGAUAUGGAAGCUAACGUAACUUAGCUGUGUUGCUAAGAUCAGUUUUAAAACUCUCCUCUGUCGGAAAAUAAACUGCUGCACAACCAAGACACGAUUCACACGCAGUUAGGACGCACACGGUAGAAACAUGUCUCCUGAAUAAUCUGUGAAUUUAUUUCUCUGUUAGUAACUGAGCUAACAAGCUAGCUUACUGACAGUUACCUUUUUAACCAGAGGGGGGAGUGAAGCAUGAUCCGGCUAGCAGUUAGCCUGUUAGCAGUUAGAACAUUUUGGUAUUAAUCCUGGAAGGUAGCUUAUCAAAUUGGCACCAGUAUUGAAAAUUAUUUAUUUGAUUAUUGGUUAAUUGACUUAUUGCAUAUACUAUAGUCACGUGGCUGAAGUCAAAGUGAUUUUUGGAAGGAAAAAAAAGUAUUUUCCCAAUAAAGAUGAUGUUUCUAUAGACAAAACACAUUUAACUGGUUUUAAACUUUCAGCCGGACUGAUGCUGAACAGUCACAAUAUACUGUAUCUGAUUGAUUAUGUCAUUGAAUGUUGAUUGCUGCAGACUUUUGGCAGUGAUAAAAAAAAACCA